rnacentral:lncRNA from 1 species
GCUAUUGAAGUGAGUAAAUUUUCCUUUCAAGGGAGAUUUUUAUGCCUACCGUUUCUGUAUGUUCAGUGUGACCACAAACAAACAUGCUGACUGCUAAAGUUUUUCCAGGUGUGAUUGCUUUAGUUAGAGAAGGCACUGGUAUGACAUGAGAAAUUAUUUCUGUAACACUUGAUCUUGGGUCUGCAACACUUGCUAACAGAGAUGCAGCCAAAACAAAGCCUAUACUGAGUGUAACAUACUCUGCAGAUCAACACCCGUCUUUUAAUGUGAGGUCCGUACUAUAUAUCCAGUGCAAUUUAUUUACUAUUCUCGGAUUCUGAAUGUACAUAUAGUUCAAUUUCAUGAGUUUAACCUUUCAAGUUAUUGUUUUCUGCAUAUGAUUUUAACAUCUCCCAUUUUCUCUAAAAAAAUAUAUUCAGUUUGAGUUUCAGUACUGCUUAUUAUGUGCAUUAUAGUCUCACAAUUCUGAAUUUAAUCUUUUUAAUUGAGUAGCAUCAUAAUUUUUUAUUGUGGCCUCAUGCUUAAAUAAUUAAAUUUGGCAGGUUGCAGAAAUUCGAAUUUACUAUCUCUGAGAAUUAGUAUAUAUUCUGUGUGGUUCACCAAAUUUACUAUCUCUGAGAAGUUUUCGUUUGAUCUUUUAUUAGUAGUAUAGAUUUGCGGCUUACAUUGCUAAUAUUUGAUCCUCGAUAGCAAUGCU